UCAGUCUAUGAGUGUAUGUAG
rnacentral:piRNA from 1 species